rnacentral:rRNA from 1 species
GAUGAACGCUAGCGGCAGGCCUAAUACAUGCAAGUCGAACGAGCUUAGGUCUUUCGGGGCCUAGGUUAGUGGCGCACGGGUGCGUAACGCGUAUGCAACCUACCUUCCACAGGGGGAUAGCCUUCCGAAAGGAAGAUUAAUACCGCAUAACAUCAUUUGAGGGCAUCCGAAGAUGAUCAAAGCUGAGGCGGUGGAAGAUGGGCAUGCGUGCCAUUAGUUAGUUGGUAGGGUAACGGCCUACCAAGACUUCGAUGGCUAGGGGUUCUGAGAGGAGGGUCCCCCACACUGGUACUGAGACACGGACCAGACUCCUACGGGAGGCAGCAGUAGGGAAUAUUGGGCAAUGGCCGAGAGGCUGACCCAGCCAUGCCGCGUGCAGGAAGAAGGCCUUCUGGGUUGUAAACUGCUUUUAUCUGGGAAGAAAACGCUCCUGCGGGGGUAACUGACGGUACCAGAUGGAUAAGCACCGGCUAACUCCGUGCCAGCAGCCGCAGUAACAC